GUGCCAGCAGCCGCGGUAAUACAGAGGGUGCAAGCGUUGUUCGGAAUUACUGGGCGUAAAGCGCGCGCAGGCGGAUCCUGCAAGUCCGAAGUGAAAUCUCCUUGCUCAACGAGGGGGCUGCUUUGGAUACUGCGGAUCUGGAGACCGGUAGAGGCUGGUAGAAUUGCAGGUGUAGCGGUGGAAUGCGUAGAGAUCUGCAAGAAUACCCGUGGCGAAGGCGGCCAGCUGGGCCGGUUCUGACGCUGAGGCGCGAAAGCGUGGGGAGCAAACAGGAUUAGAUACCCCCGUAGUCC
rnacentral:rRNA from 1 species